rnacentral:lncRNA from 1 species
AAAAUAAAAAAAAGAAGGAAAAGACAUUUUUACCUUUUUUGGUUAUCUGCCAGGUCAGCACUUUAACUGAAUAGUUAUAAAAAUUUAACGGAAGUAUGUUCUUGAUAACAAAAUAAGAGUUUAAGUACUACAUUAACAGCUUUGUAAGUCUAGGUAUCAAAUGACCGGGACACUAGAGUUUAGACUCUGAUGAUGUACUUUUCUCUUAGUGUUUGUUUUAGUAGAUAUAACCCACGAUAUACCACUUACCACUUAUAAGAGGAAACCAGUGUAAGUCUAUAAGAUUGGACUAGUCUGAGUUGGAUUUCAGUGAAAUAUGGUGGGGAGUGGUUGAUGCAGUUCAGUGUUUGUUUGUUUUUUUUUUUUUAAGGAGAAAGAAAUUUAUUAAUGAGUACGAAUAUCGUACAUAAGGGCAUCCUGAACAAACUCAGGAGCUAUAGUGAACCAUUCUCGAUGGCCAUUAUUUUCAUAUCCAAAAUUGGCAAACCUGUGAACUACCACAUUAGCUAGUCUAAAAACAUGAAUUACACAGCCAUUAGGAAUGCUACUCACUAGACCCUUAAUAUUAGCAACUAAAGCCCCAAGAGAAGACAAGUCUUGAUUAGGGGAGUUAAUUACUUGCACAGCUUGCAAGCAAUCACUUUCAAUCACCAGAGCCUAUUCAGCGCACCCGGAUGCCAAACAGCGCGUGCAAACAACGCGAUGUUAAGUCGGCUGGUCCUCGUUUUAGUUGUUUCUCAUCCUUUCUCCUCUCUCUCUCUCUCAUGAAUCAUGAUCUCAUGAUACUCAUCUUCCUCUCUCUCGUCGUCCUUGUGGCUGAGGCCUCAUUCUGAAUCCGUAAACAAGUUCAAAAUCAGGACAUGAAGGAGAGGCUGUGCUUGGAGGUGGAGCGGCUGGGGCUCAAGAUGGUGAGGCUUGGAAGCCAUAGCGGUGGUGCCUAAUUCAUGGGUCGGCCAAUUCUGUUGCUCCUCCGGUUUCCUACACCAUAACAAGUCCCUCAAAGGAUCUGUCUGGAUACACUGGGAGUAAUCGAGCC